UGUGACUCUCUAGAACAUGGCAACCAUGUAAUCUUCCUAUCUGGAGCAGCACCGACCCAUUUUCCUGAUGAGAAACUGUGUUUAGGAUGUGACUCUCUAGAACAUGGCAACCAUGUAAUCUUCCUAACUGGAGCAGCACCGACCCGUUUUCCUGAUGAGAAACUGUGUUUAGGAUGUGACUCUCUAGAACAUGGCAACCAUGUAAUCUUCCUAUCUGGAGCAGCACCGACCCAUUUUCCUGAUGAGAAACUGUGUUUAGCAUGUGGCUCUCUAGAACUUGGCAACCAUGUAAUCUUCCUAUCUGGAGCAGCACCGAACAAUUUUCCUGAAGAGAAACUGUGUUUAGCAUGUGGCUCUCUAGAACUUGGCAACCAUGUAAUCUUCCUAUCUGGAGCAGCACAGACCCGUUUUCCUGAUGAGAAACUGUGUUUAGGAUGUGGCUCUCUAGAACUUGGCAACCAUGUAAUCUUCCAAUCUGGAGCAGCACCGACCCAUUUUCCUGAUGAGAAACUGUGUUUAGCAUGUGGCUCUCUAGAACUUGGCAACCAUGUAAUCUUCCUAUCUGGAGCAGCACCGAACAAUUUUCCUGAAUAGAAACUGUGUUUAGCAUGUGGCUCUCUAGAACUUGGCAACCAUGUAAUCUUCCUAUCUGGAGCAGCACAGACCCGUUUUCCUGAUGAGAAACUGUGGUGAGUAUCAUUUAUAUCGCGAACAACAG
rnacentral:lncRNA from 1 species